rnacentral:lncRNA from 1 species
AAGGGACCUGCGCAGAGUCUGGACAUUACUCUCAGGCCAACGAGGGAGAACAUGCAGAAGAGAAACCGAGUCGGUGGAUGUGGGCGAGAAGAAACCUGACAACUCACCUGUUUCCAGAAGAGUCAGUUGAGCCAAGAUGGAAGUGAGGGGUUUGUCAGGUAGAGUAAAAGGCAUCAAGGUGGUUUCACAUCGAUGGCUGGACAUUUCACAUUGAUGGAGAUGUGGGAGAUGGAAGCUGGAAGGCUCCAAGCCCAGGGAAUGUCACUGCCCAUAGCUACAGUGUUUCUUCUCAUCUCAAUGAACUAAUCAAGAUAGUGUCUCACAGGCUCAGCCAGAGACUAAUCUCACUCAGACGGCCUUCAUAGAUGUUCUCGUAGGUCUGACUACUAAGUCGUUCUAGAUGCCAUCCUCUUGACAAUUGAUACUGAUGAUCACACUGUGGGUAAAGAUCUAAGCUCAGUUUCUGAGACAUCAGAAGAAUGGGGGAGACACUACUGUGACUGACAAGCAGCCUCGGGAAAAGAGUCAGUUCAGCUGAAUGAAGACUACAGGGAUGAUAUUGCUACCUACAGAGGAAGACCUGAUGCAGUAUCAAAGGAGAUGUCAAGAUGGACAUGAGCAAGAAAAAGAAGGAACAGGAAGGGGCUGAGGAAGGUGAAGAGAAACAAAAUGAUGGCAAUGAUUAAGUUCUUACACAGUUUUUCUCCUUGUCUAUAAAGCAUUUAAAUCUCCUUAUAACUCCCUUCUUUUAAGGAAAAAAACUGAAGUGCAAGGUUGUAUAGAUUUGUUUUUAAAGUGUAUAGUGUCUGGUUUUUGUGUAGUUAACACUACUGAGUGUCUUUAGAUAGCUCUAUCCUGAUGGUGCCUCAGAAAUGGUAUGUUGUUGGUGCACAGCACAUGUUAUUUACAUGUGGAGAUGGUAUCCUCAUUCCUCUUUCUGUUCUCUGGUCUUGUUCACAUGAAAAUAAUUCUUCUGUGAACUGAGUAUCACUUUGUAAUUAGAAAAGUGAACUGCUGCUAUCUCAUAGGCAUUCUCAAGGUUUUUAAAUAAAUACACAUUUUUAUUAGAAGAAAA